GACAAUAAAAUUUUAUUUUCAAAACCAAGAAAUUGUGUUUUCUGCCUAUCCUUUUGGAGACAAGGAGUAAUCUUGGUCUGUCACUAGCAUCAGGUAUGAGGGGCAGAUGUGGACUGUGGUGGAAAAGAUUGGGCUUCUAAUCGCAGCUCUGGCUGUCCCAGCUUUUUCAGUUGCCAGUGCCAGAAACCCAACUCCAAUGAACUCAAGGAAAAUGGAGUAUGGGACAAGGAGUGCUCAGAGAACAUGACCUCUGGCAGUUCAGGACUCAAACAUUGAUGGCCCCAGUCCUGGAGAGGAAAAGGGAUCUCUCUAUUCAGGGAUAGAAGCAGCUGUAACCAGAUGAUCUUAACCUGAGCUCAACACAGAUAAAUUUGUGACUGCAAAGAAG